rnacentral:rRNA from 1 species
CAGUAGCCACGGUAAUACGAGGGGGGCAAGCGUUGUUCGGAAUUAUUGGGCGUAAAGGGCGCGUAGGCGGUUUGGCAAGUUUGGUGUGAAAUCUUCGGGCUCAACUCGAAGUCUGCAUCGAAAACUGCCGGGCUUGAGUAUUGGAGAGGUGAGUGGAAUUUCCGGUGUAGCGGUGAAAUGCGUAGAUAUCGGAAGGAACACCUGUGGCGAAAGCGGCUCACUGGACAAUAACUGACGCUGAUGCACGAAAGCUAGGGGAGCAAACAGGAUUAGAUACCCCCGUAGUCCCUGUCUCUUAUAC